UGAGGAAUAUUGGUCAAUGGACGAGAGUCUGAACCAGCCAAGUAGCGUGAAGGAUGACUGCCCUAUGGGUUGUAAACUUCUUUUAUACGGGAAUAAAGUGAGUCACGUGUGGCUUUUUGUAUGUACCGUAUGAAUAAGGAUCGGCUAACUCCGUGCCAGCAGCCGCGGUAAUACGGAGGAUCCGAGCGUUAUCCGGAUUUAUUGGGUUUAAAGGGAGCGUAGAUGGAUGUUUAAGUCAGUUGUGAAAGUUUGCGGCUCAACCGUAAAAUUGCAGUUGAUACUGGAUAUCUUGAGUGCAGUUGAGGCAGGCGGAAUUCGUGGUGUAGCGGUGAAAUGCUUAGAUAUCACGAAGAACUCCGAUUGCGAAGGCAGCCUGCUAAGCUGCAACUGACAUUGAGGCUCGAAAGUGUGGGUAUCAAACAGGAUUAGAUACCCUGGUAGUCCACACGGUAAACGAUGAAUACUCGCUGUUUGCGAUAUACUACAAGCGGCCAAGCGAAAGCGUUAAGUAUUCCACCUGGGGAGUACGCCGGCAACGGUGAAACUCAAAGGAAUUGACGGGGGCCCGCACAAGCGGAGGAACAUGUGGUUUAAUUCGAUGAUACGCGAGGAACCUUACCCGGGCUUAAAUUGCAGAUGAAUUACGGUGAAAGCCGUAAGCCGCAAGGCAUCUGUGAAGGUGCUGCAUGGUUGUCGUCAGCUCGUGCCGUGAGGUGUCGGCUUAAGUGCCAUAACGAGCGCAACCCUUGUUGUCAGUUACUAACAGGUUCCGCUGAGGACUCUGACAAGACUGCCAUCGUAAGAUGUGAGGAAGGUGGGGAUGACGUCAAAUCAGCACGGCCCUUACGUCCGGGGCUACACACGUGUUACAAUGGGGGGUACAGAGGGCCGCUACCACGCGAGUGGAUGCCAAUCCCCAAAACCUCUCUCAGUUCGGACUGGAGUCUGCAACCCGACUCCACGAAGCUGGAUUCGCUAGUAAUCGCGCAUCAGCCACGGCGCGGUGAAUACGUUCCC
rnacentral:rRNA from 1 species